rnacentral:hammerhead_ribozyme from 1 species
AUCCAGUUGACGAGUCCCAAACAGGACGAGAUGCGUAUCCUUGAU